rnacentral:rRNA from 1 species
AACGCGAAGAACCUUACCUACCCUUGACAUGUGGAAUGCCGAAGAGAUUUGGCAGUGCGCAAGAGAACCGGAACACAGGUGCUGCAUGGCUGGAGCGUGGUGAGAUGUUGGGUUAAGCCGCAACGAGCGCAACCCUUGCUGUGUUGCCAGCAUGCCCUGGGGUGAUGGGGACACAGGAGACCGCCGGGGAACGGAGGAAGGUGGGGAUGACGAAGAAUGCCCCUUAUGCAAGGCUACGCAUGCUACAAUGGCCGGUACAAAGGGCUGCGAUAGCAAGAUGGAGCGAACCAAAAAGCCGGAGUGGAUUGGGGUGCAACGACCCCAUGAAGGGAGGCUAGUAAGCAGAAGCAACGCUGCGGUGAAUACGUCCGGGUUGUACACACCG